AGUGGGCAUCUUUGUACUCCUAAUUCUACUCCGGACACUUGUCCAUUUUUACCUCUCGUCUCACUCUUUCUUUUUUCUUUCUUUUUCGAGGUUGCGGGCACUCGCCCCUUUUUAUUUCCUCGCAUAUUUUUGCAUAACCCAUGCCUCUUCUGCAUUAAAUCUUUUUAGAGGGAGAGAACAACAAUAUUUGGGACAGUGAGUGAUAAUAUUUUUAGCAAUUUUAAUGAUUGGUGAUGAAUGGUGUAGUGGAUGUGUGCAAGUGAAUAUCUUAAUUUAACCACAUGAAAAGCUCCUAAGGGUCUACACAGCUUGAUCAAACUCAAUGUGAAUAUAGUAAAAGAUGUUAUAGCAAGUAUGGCUGUGGUAGGUAGUUUGUAAUGCUAGGAACUCAUCAUGUGAUUUGUAAGUUUCCAAAAUAAAUCUCCAGAACUUAGUGUAGU
rnacentral:lncRNA from 1 species